AUUCGUCGGCGCUCCACAAUUCAAAGGCGUUCCACAGGGAUGCUGGCCCUUUUAGGUGGUGGAGCAUUCUUGAUACACAUGGGAAACUGUUGAGCGGGGGAAAUCCAGAUGCGUUGCAGUUCUUGACACAAACCUACCUACUACCAUACCUUGUUCAAAGGCACUUAAGUCUUUUGUCUUGCCUAUUCACCCUCUGAAUGGCACACACACAAUUCAUGUCUCAAUUGUUUCAAGACUUAAACAUUAUUUUUUUAACCUGUCUCCUCCCCUUCAUCUACACUCAUUGAAGUGGAUUUAACAACUGACAUCAAGGGAUCAUAUCUUCCACCUGGAUUCACCUGGUCAGCCUUUGUCAUGGAAAGAAUGGAAAGGUGCCAAUCCAGAACACUAGGAUCCUGUGUGAAACAACUCCCACUUCUUCUCCACCAUUCAGCGUUGGUUGGAAGAGAAUGCGCACCUUCCCUAGAAUAUUUACGCUCUGUUUCAGUGUAGUUUGAAGGAUAACAUGAAAAUAGGAACACUGAAGCGACAUAAACAAUUGGACAAAGCUUCCUCAGCCUUCCUGCUAGUCCCUGGUGUUUUGUGUCACUACAAUUGCAGAGGGACAGCUGAGCCUGAGCCCACACCCAAAACAGACCCAGACAAUGGAGCUUGGACUCCUAGCUUCACGGUUAGAGAUAUUGCAUUAUGACUGACAACAAAACAGCACAGCGAUGUUUGGAUUUCCAACUCAAUGUAGAAAAGGCUUGUCUAAAAGGGUUGAUAACUUUGUGGCAGUUGUGAGUGACACAUUUUCUUUGAUACAAUGAUCAGUCCUCUCAUAAACUUCCUAGCACAUUUUAGCAUUUUACAUGUACAUUACAACACGCAAGUUGACCAUCACAUAUCAUGAUUGCAUAUGGAUAUUCUAUGUACUAGCCGUCAAUCUUCUGGAAAGAACCAAAUACAUCAGUUUGAAAUGAAUUCUACAAUGAAUUUCCACUUCGAUGACAAAAGAAUCAUCAACCGCAGACACACAAGUAGCAAUGACACUAAUGUGUAUAGAACAGUGUAUAGAAAUAUAGGCUAUUGGUGAGUGAGAGACAAGCUGUAGUGGAUUCCCC
rnacentral:lncRNA from 1 species